AUACGGAGGGUGCGAGCGUUAAUCGGAAUUACUGGGCGUAAAGCGUGCGUAGGCGGUUGGUUAAGUUAGAUGUGAAAGCCCCGGGCUUAACCUGGGAACUGCAUUUAAAACUGGCGAACUAGAGUUGAGUAGAGGGGAGUGGAAUUUCAGGUGUAGCGGUGAAAUGCGUAGAGAUCUGAAGGAACACCAGUGGCGAAGGCGACUCCCUGGACUCGAACUGACGCUGAGGUACGAAAGCGUGGGUAGCAAACGGGAUUAGAAACCCCGGUAGUCC
rnacentral:rRNA from 1 species